rnacentral:rRNA from 1 species
AAUCAACGCUGGCGGCGCGCUUAACACAUGCAAGUCGAACGAGAAAGGGAGCAAUCCUGAGUAAAGUGGCGUACGGGUGAGUAACACGUGGGUAAUCUGCCCUCUGGUGGGAAUAACUCUGGGAACCGGAGCUAUACCGCAUAAGAUCGCGAGAUGAAAGGGCGAAAGUUCGCCGGAGGAGGAGCCCGCGGCUGAUUAGCUAGUUGGUGAGGUAAGAGCUCACCAAGGCUGAGAUCGGUAGCCGGCCUGAGAGGGCACACGGCCACACUGGCACUGAAACACGGGCCAGACUCCUACGGGAGGC